rnacentral:lncRNA from 1 species
GGUCUUAGUGUGUGCUGUGGAUGUGUGUGGUGUGUUUGGGUGUGUGGGAAUGGUGUGGGGAUGGUGUGACUUUGUGUGUGAUGUCGAGGUGUGUGGUGUGUUUGCAUGUGUGGUGGUGUGUGGGCAUGGUGUGACCGUGUGUGCGAUGUGUAUGUGUGUGGUAUGUUUGCGUGUGUGGUGGUGUGUGGGGGAUGGUGUGACUGUGUGUGUGCUGUGGAUGUGUGUGGUAUGUUUGCGUGUGUGGUGGUGUGUGGGGCAUGGUGUAACUAUGUGUACAUGUGUGUGUUGUGGAUGCAUGUGUGUCUGUGUGUGUCAUGGUGUGUGGGGCAUGGUGUAACUGUGUAUGCUGUGGAUGUGUGUGGUGGUGUGUGCUGUGUGUGAGUGGCAUUGCGUGUGCUGUGAAUGUGUGUGGUGGUGUGUACUGUACUGUGUGUGUGUGUGUGUGUGUGUGUGUGGCAUUGCGUGUGCUGUGGUGGACCCGAGUCCACAGGUGGGUGGCUUCUGGAGUGCCACAUGAGGCUGUUGAGUGGCAGCCCUGACAG